UCCCGCCGCCUGAGUGGGCGCGGCGCGGGACGGCGGCGCGGGGUGCCGGGAGCCAUGGGCUAUUGCAGCGGCCGGUGCACGCUGGUGGCCGUGUGCGGCGCGCAGCUGGUUUCUGUGCUCGAGAGGCAGAUAUUUGACUUCCUUGGUUAUCAGUGGGCACCCAUCCUCGCAAAUUUUAUACACAUUAUUAUUGUCAUACUUGGCUUAUUUGGAACCAUCCAGUAUAGACCUCGUUACAUAACAGGAUAUGCUGUGUGGCUGGUCCUUUGGGUUACAUGGAACGUGUUUGUUAUCUGCUUCUAUUUGGAGGCUGGAGACCUUUCAAAGGAAACAGAUCUCAUUCUGACCUUUAACAUCUCAAUGCACCGCUCUUGGUGGAUGGAGAAUGGGCCAGGCUGCACCGUGACCUCAGUAACCCCAGCCCCGGACUGGGCACCAGAGGAUCAUCGUUAUAUCACUGUCUCGGGGUGUUUUCUUGAAUAUCAGUACAUAGAAGUGGCUCACAGUUCUCUUCAGAUCUUCCUUGCACUGGCAGGCUUCAUCUACGCCUGUUAUGUUGUGAAGUGUAUUACUGAAGAAGAGGACAGCUUUGAUUUCAUAGGUGGAUUUGACUCUUACGGCUAUCAAGGUCCACAGAAGACAUCUCAUUUACAGCUACAGCCCAUGUAUAUUGCCAACAGUGUGCUCUAUGCUGUACAAGCCAAGAAGCCUAGACAGUCCCUUCAAAACGAAUACGCUUUUUGAACAGAACGGGACAGAACCGAUGCUCAUGUACCUCCUUGCAGUGUGGCCACAGCUGAUGUACUCAAAAGCAGCUUCCUGGCAUUCUGUGCCGGAGAUGCCAGUGCUCAUUUCCAGACCAUGGGAGAAGGACACAAUAAGAUGGCGGAAAUCAAUUGUCAAGACAAAAUUCUCCUCUUGGGAGGUGACCGAGGAAGGUCAAAGUAAACAUGGGGACUACGUAAGAUGGGCUGGAGGACCUGUCAAAAAAUCUGUUUCAGGAUGGCCUCCUGCUUCUCUUCAAAGAGAAAAGAAAUCCAAUUUUUGUGCUWAAAAAAAAUAUGUAUAAAAGCUGAUUGAACAGAGACAGGAAACAGAGACCUUCAGCCUCUCUUUCUAACAGGUACUAAAGGAGAUGCCCCAGACCCCCUUCUUGGACCUCCUGCCUCCCAGCACUAGAGGGACAGAGCAGAGGCACUGGUGCCACCUUUUGUCCCUUCCUUUCCCUGGCCACCGCCAGCACGGCCCAUCUGGAUUAAGACAUGGACUCAGCCCACUCAGUGCUUUGGGAGCCUCCUCCACACUCCAGGUCGUGUCGAGUCUCCUCAGCCAACACAACACUGGAAUACCAGGAUGACCUUGCAGCAGAAGUCAACAGACAGUGCAUUGUUUGCCCUGAAGGCUGUACAGUUCAUACUUGCCUUAACCCAACUGCGUUGCACAUUAGAGAAACAACGUGCAAGCUUUCCGAAGUUAACAUGCUGCUGUUAAUUCUGAACGAUUUCUAAGUCAGUGGUUUUCUUCUGUUUGGUUUUGCUUUGUUUUCUUGUCAGGGAAUAAGGCUCUGCUGCUCCACGGCUCCAGAGCAACCAAGUAGAAAACUGCCAGCUGUCUGAUAAGUGCUUUACUUUUGGGGCUCCACRGUGGUCAAGAAACAGUUUAUUACAACUAAAAUGAAAAAUAAAUAAAGAAAUAAAUGAGACCUUUUGGGGGUCAGGGUGGGGAAAGGGGUAACAGAAACUAAUAAUUGAACCUACUGGAAAUAAGCAGCAGAAACAGUGCUUCUUAAUCCCGCUGGUUUUAUUUAUUGCACUGUAGGUGCUUUUAUAGCUAUCUCUAAACAUCUUUUACUAACUACAGAGACAUCUGCAGAUUUCUAUCAACAAAGGCCAACUGAAUAUGUACUAGCUACGUUUACUCUUUUAUAUCUAAUUUCAACUAAAAAAUUCUCUGUAAGUGAGCGCUUUUUUUCCAAUUACACCAUAAGGGAUCCACAUAUUUUAUUUUUCGAUUUCGGUUGGAGAGGGCAGGGAGGGACUAGUUGAGUUGAAGAAAUACUGAAGACCUUUUUGUGGUACAUUUGGGGGAUCUGUUGUGUGUUAGAACGUGUAUUUUAUCUUCCUGUAUUAUUGUGGCUGAAAAAAAAACCCUGUGCUGUUACGUAGUUGGCAACAAGAUGCCUUUGGGAAUUUUGCUAGUAGGUCAAUGUGUAUAUGAGAUACUCUGAACUCCUGGGAACAUAUGUUUUAUUCUACAUCUGAUCUGUAUUUUCAAGAACGUAGAUGGCUUUCACUAGGAAAACCCAAUAUUUUGCUCAGGUUUUUCAGAAACUUGGAUUGUCAUUGUUUCUUUGCUCAGACCUUGCAUAGACAAACGCACGCACCAACCACACCUGAGGUGACCACGUAGCUUUUGAGGGCAAGAGGGAAGGUCAGCUCUUGGAAAGGCUCAAGGUAGCCCUGGGCAACUCCCUUUUCCCUGCUGGCCAAACCCCGGCUCCAAAAGCCUCACACCAUUCACCCAUCCCUGUACAAGGCAGUGCCCUUUGCUGUGUCUGCAUGGAUGUACAGUGUCACAAGCAGCAACUCUGGACAAUGACAGAGGAACAGGCAUUCUCCAGUGAAAACAAGACACGGGACAUGUUCAGGAACGAUACUUCCAUUGAUUCAGCAAGAUUUAUAUAGAUAUAGAUAGCGCUCUCUMUAUAUAUAUAUGUAAGUGUGUGAAUGUGUGUGUAUGUCAAUGUAUAUAAAAUACACAGGACUAACUCUUGUUGGGGGCUGCAUCACCCRGGAAUGUUCCAGUGCAGUGGACCAAGGGCUCCCAUCUCAGAUACUGCUAGGAAUUUCACCCAUGAAACAGGCACGUCCCCUAGGCCUGAUCCUGUAAAGCAUUCAUUGCUUUGGAUCUCAAAUUUCAUUGAUUUGGAUCUCAAAUUUAAAUUAUCAUGCUUGGGUAUCUGAAAAUCUGAGUUCCUACUGGAUAGAGCUGCUUUUGACCCCCGGGAAACCCCAUGAAACUUCCAACUGCCAGGCUGAAAUUUCCCUUAACUUGAAAAAUUUUAAAACUUUCUACUUUUAUGUAGUGUUAAAUAUAGCAGAUGUAUAGURUUAAACACAAUGAAGAGGUUUAAAUGGAAUGAAAAUGUCAUAACAGGUUAUUUUAUCUUUCCCUGUAUACCAGUUAAUCAAAAUGAUAUUUCUAUAAAAAUCAUUUUUUAACAUGAAAAGAAACCAGUUGAGGCACCUAAGCAGCAAUCCAAUUUUCAGAAGAUAAUUUUUCAUACCUUUUAGUGAUUUCCCAUGGAACAGCGGCUACUGGUAGUUAGCAAUUUUAGAAGUCAGACAAUUUAAUGAAGUGUCUACACGUAGCUUAUAGGCCUGAUUUUAAUUUAGAAAAUUUUGGCCUUAAUUUCUCUGUGUCUUAGUCUUCCCAUCUAUAAUACGGGAAUAAUAUGUGCCUCGCAGGCUUUUUGUGAGGUCUGAAUUGUUAAUGUUUGUAAAAUGCUUAGGAAAUAGGAAGCACAUCUAACUACUAUGGAUUGCAAUAUUAAUGUGUAUUCAUAUAUUACAUAUAGARUAGAUACACACACUCACAUACACACAGCAUACAUAUAUAUAUACACAUACAUACUUAUAUGAAGUUGGUAUUCAUAACCCUUCUUAAGUUGCAGUUAGAGCACCACCAUUUAACAAAUUAGGACUGUUGACUACUCAACUAAAUGAUUAGUGGACAGAUCUCUUCUGGAAGCAGUUUAGAGCACAGUAAUGUGAGAAUAUCUGGAUGGCAUUUUUGAUUUGUACAGCUGUAUCCUCCUCAAAAUCCAGUAAAGAAUGUUAUUUUUCUAGGCUGGGCUUUUGUUAUAAACUAAAAUAUUCAGAAGGCAAGAGAUACAAUCCAAAUGUGUCCUUUUUUCUUUUCUUUUUGGCAUUUGUUAAUUCUGAAUGUAUUUUUAACAAAAGUGAUUUUUUUGACUUACUAGUGUAAUUUGCAUUUUAAAAAAAAAUAAAUGGAAAAAAUAUAGGUUUCCAAGCUAUUCAUGGCCCCCUGCUGCUAUUCAGAACUUACAGGAAACUCAGAAUGACUGUUCCCAGCUGAGCAACAAUGCAGGAUAAAGAAUCCUAUUACAUUUACAUGAUGACAAUCCCGAUCUGUGCAGUGCAUGGAUGUGACAGCCCUGAAUAGAAAUUGCCGGGUCACGACACCAUUUUAACGCUGUCAUAUGUACCAGGUAUUUUCAUUAUCACUGACACUAAAAGGUUUCUUUUACAAGGCUGACUGCAACAGACUCUAUACUUAGGAAACAGGUCUGGUUUUGCCCACUCAUCACAAAUUUUAAUGUGAUAGGUAUAGAAUUGCCAACAGUGUUAAGUAUUGCAAAAGUAAUCCUCGUUAAGCAGGAACUAUGUAACACGGAUAUUUCCACCGUAUUCAUAUUCUUUUAUAUGCUGUUUAUUGUCCCUAGAAUUAAAUGAUGAAAUCCUGUCCUGGGCAAAAUGUUUAUAGAGYUCACACAUAUUGGCAGCUUGCCUGAGGUCAUUUAAUAAAGGUGGAGCAGAAUGAUGCACAUUUUGAAAUACCCGGUCGUGCUCUCUUAGGAUGAUUUCUUAGAAAGAGAAUUCUUUCUCUUUCAUUAGGAUUUUUUAGGUCUUCCAUAUAGUGCAARUGAUACUUUUCAGUCAGGUAAGGAGAAAUGGUUUGUGCUCCACUUGCUUAAUUUAAGUGCAAUGCACCACUGCUGCACAGCAUUUUGAGAGUCUGGCACAGUUAUGCAUUGAUCCCUGGAUGCCUGGAUAGGAAUGGCUAUUAACUCAGUGUCUUGUUUUGAUCACUUGCAUGCUUACCCUCCAUUUGAGCACACUGGUAGUAGCCAAAGCAAGACUCCAUACACCCUGCAUCACUUCACCUUGUAAUAUUUUCAUUUCCAGUCCUCUGUUUUGGUUUUAAAUGCAAAUAUUAAGAGAAGGAGGAGUUUUCUCACAAAGACAGAAGGCCCCAUGAAUAGUCUGUGUGUUUGAAUUGCUUUCUGACUGYCUACUGAUGAGUAACUGGGAUGAAAUUGAUGGACUUCUGGGGUUUGUUUUCUAGCCCUUCUGAAUCAGGCUUCUUCCCAGCACACAUGGACUGGCAGCAGGCACUGCAGGUAAGUCAGGUUUCAUUGAAGAACCAAAGCACAGCAAUACUGCAGACAGCACCGUGUCCAUUGCUCCUUGGAGAAAGAUGAAGACAGUUGUUAUGCUAAUUGGUCUGCCUCAAGCUGUGUGCAAUAUUAAAUGCAAUUACCAUGCAUAAAAGAAACUGCCCUUUAGACUGCAAUUACUCAUUCACAUACAGAAGUGGCACAGCACAGAAUUAAUCAGGAAAAUAUAUUUUCUUUCYGUUGUCACCAACAUGCUUCACCUCCUGCCAUGGAUUGGAGAAAUCAGCUCUGUUUGAUCUCAUGUCCUGAUAAGUYUUUCUGUUCAGACCUUCACCAAGAGAAGAAAUUGCAGCCAGUUAGGGUUGAGAUCUUGGCAUACUUGAGUGGUUUAGGAAGAUAUUGUACCAAAUGUAAAGUUCUAAGUAGCAUCAUACAUGCACUUGUUGCCCACCUCCCUCCAUAUGUACAAAAGAAGGGGKUUUUAAGAUGCACUUUUCCUUUAUAUCUCAGAAACCAACACAGAUGAUGUCUUUCACAAGUGUCUUCUAAAUCCUGCCAAGAACACAAAUGAGAUCUUUUAAUAAAAAAAUCCAAUAAGAGCACCAUCUUUGCUGCUCUCUGUUGAGCAGAAACUCUUGAGACUUCCAAACGCCUUGAGGUUAUUAUUUUGGAUAGAUAGGAGCACUGUGAAACCUGAGCACUAAAAAGCAAAUAAUGCUUAUGAUCAUCUAUGAUUCAAAAUAAAAUCUUCUAUACAAAAGCCAUACUUCUGCAUCCAC